CCUACGGGGGGCUGCAGUGGGGAAUAUUGGACAAUGGGGGCAACCCUGAUCCAGCCAUGCCGCGUGUGUGAAGAAGGCCCUCGGGUUGUAAAGCACUUUCAGUGAGGAAGAACGCCUGGUGGUUAAUACCCAUCAGGAAAGACAUCACUCACAGAAGAAGCACCGGCUAACUCCGUGCCAGCAGCCGCGGUAAUACAGAGGGUGCGAGCGUUAAUCGGAAUUACUGGGCGUAAAGCGCGCGUAGGUGGCUUGAUAAGCCGGUUGUGAAAGCCCCGGGCUCAACCUGGGAACGGCAUCCGGAACUGUCAAGCUAGAGUGCAGGAGAGGAAGGUAGAAUUCCCGGUGUAGCGGUGAAAUGCGUAGAGAUCGGGAGGAAUACCAGUGGCGAAGGCGGCCUUCUGGACUGACACUGACACUGAGGUGCGAAAGCGUGGGUAGCAAACAGGAUUAGAUACCCUAGUAGUC
rnacentral:rRNA from 1 species